GAUGAAGAACGCAGCGAAAUGCGAUAAGUAAUGUGAAUUGCAGAAUUCAGUGAAUCAUCGAAUCUUUGAACGCACAUUGCGCCCCCUGGUAUUCCGGGGGGCAUGCCUGUUCGAGCGUCAUUUCACCACUCAAGCCUCGCUUGGUAUUGGGCAACGCGGUCCACCGCGUGCCUCAAAUCGACCGGCUGGGUCUUCUGUCCCCUAAGCGUUGUGGAAACUAUUCGCUAAAGGGUGUUCGGGAGGCUACGCCGUAAAACAACCCCAUUUCUAAGGUUGACCUCGGAUCAGGUAGGGAUACCCGCUGAACUUAAGCAUAUCAAUAAGCGGAGGA
rnacentral:misc_RNA from 1 species